rnacentral:misc_RNA from 1 species
GAAGAACGCAGUGAAAUGCGAUAAGUAAUGUGAAUUGCAGAAUUCAGUGAAUCAUCGAAUCUUUGAACGCACCUUGCGCCCUUUGGCCAUUCCGAAGGGCAUGCCUGUUUGAGUAUCAUGAACACCUCAACUCUUUAUGGUUUUCCAUGAUGAGCUUGGACUCUGGGGGUUUUGCUGGCUCACAGUCGGCUCCUCUAAAAUGAAUCAGCUUACCAGUGUUUGGUGGGUAUCAUGGGUGUGAUAACUAUCUACGCUUGUGGUUUUUCCACCAGGUAACCUUCAGCAGUGGAGGUUCGCUGGAGCUCAUAGAUGUCUCUCCUCAGUGAGGACAGCCCUUUGAAUGUUUGAUCUCAAAUCAGGUAGGACUACCCGCUGAACUUAAGCAUAUCAAUAAGCGGAGGA